GCCUACGGGAGGCAGCAGUGGGGAAUAUUGGACAAUGGGCGCAAGCCUGAUCCAGCCAUGCCGCGUGUGUGAAGAAGGCCCUCGGGUUGUAAAGCACUUUCAGCGAGGAAGAACGCCUGGCGGUUAAUACCCGCCAGGAAAGACAUCACUCGCAGAAGAAGCACCGGCUAACUCCGUGCCAGCAGCCGCGGUAAUACGGAGGGUGCAAGCGUUAAUCGGAAUUACUGGGCGUAAAGCGCGCGUAGGUGGCUUGAUAAGCCGGUUGUGAAAGCCCCGGGCUCAACCUGGGAACGGCAUCCGGAACUGUCAGGCUAGAGUGCAGGAGAGGAAGGUAGAAUUCCCGGUGUAGCGGUGAAAUGCGUAGAGAUCGGGAGGAAUACCAGUGGCGAAGGCGGCCUUCUGGACUGACACUGACACUGAGGUGCGAAAGCGUGGGUAGCAAACAGGAUUAGAUACCCUGGUAGUCCACGCCGUAAACGAUGUCGACCAGCCGUUGGGUGCCUAGCGCACUUUGUGGCGAAGUUAACGCGAUAAGUCGCCCGCCUGG
rnacentral:rRNA from 1 species